rnacentral:lncRNA from 1 species
CUGUAAACGAAUCCCUUUGCCAAACACAGGUCAGACUUGCUCACUACUGACAGGAGUGGGACAGGAAAUGGAUGUUUUCCCAGCUUGGGAGCAUGUUUAGUGGAUUUAGGGCAGCAGUGUAGGAAGCAGGAGGUGGAGGCCAGUGUCACCUGACCAGACUGUAUGCCACUUCAGAGCAAUAAUGUUGGCAUGAUCUGAACCAGCCAGGAGGAGGUUGAGUGAUUAGAGGCUUGAGAUUCUUAGUUGAACUGAAGACUUCAUUUGGGCACCAGAAACGUUAACACCUUGAGCCACAAACUUCCCUUAAAGUAUGCUUUACUCCAGCGUGACACACAAACACAAAUUCUGUUUGGGGUUAUGUUUUAAGACGUGAACAGAAACAUGAUGAGGUUUGUUUAAUGGCAUACUGUACUGGAACGCUGAAGAACUGCAGCAGAUGUAAAUUCCAAGUCUUGUUAUUUUUUAAGAUUGCGAAAUUAUCAAAAUGCAUAUGAAUCAAGUUUUAAUACACUGUCUGGGUGGAUGAGGCUGUCCAUUGCACCAUUUCUUUCUUUGGGUUCUCAGGCAUGGUUCUGACAGUGUAAGAACUCUGUAACAUUUAACAUUGAAUAAACAGUAAACCUAUGAAAAAAA